rnacentral:rRNA from 1 species
GACGAACGCUGGCGGCGUGCUUAACACAUGCAAGUCGAACGGAAACGCCCUGCUUUUGUCGGGCGCUUGAGUGGCGAAAGGGUGAGUAACACGUGAGUACCCUGGCCUUGACUUUGGGUUAUCUACAGGGAACUGGGUACCAUAACCGAUAUGUGCAUCUGAUCCAUGGUGGGGGUUGGAAAGUUUCGGCGGAUGGGGCUGGACUCGCGGCUUAUCAGCGUGGUGGUGGGGUAGUGGCAUACAAAGGCUUUGACGGGUAGUCGGCCUGAGAGGAUGACCGGCCACAUUGGGACUGAGAUACGGCCCAGACUGCUACGGGGGGCAGCAGUGGGAAAUAUUGCACAAUGGGCGGGAGCCUGAUGCAGCGACGCCGCGUGCGGGAUGACGGCCUGCGGGUUGUGAACCGCUUUCGCCUGUGACGAAGCGUGAAUGACGGUAAUGUAUAAAGAAGCACCGGCUAACUACGUG